AGAGUUUGAUCAUGGCUCAGAACGAACGCUGGCGGCAGGCUUAACACAUGCAAGUCGAACGCGUGUAGCAAUACACGAGUGGCGCACGGGUGAGUAACGCGUGGAUAUCUGCCUUUUGGUUCGGAAUAACCCCGGGAAACUGGGGCUAAUACCGGAUGGUUCCUUCGGGAUAAAGAUUUAUCGCCAAAAGAUGAGUCCGCGUACGAUUAGCUAGUUGGUGAGGUAAUGGCUCACCAAGGCGACGAUCGUUAGCUGGUCUGAGAGGACGAUCAGCCACACUGGGACUGAGACACGGCCCAGACUCCUACGGGAGGCAGCAGUGGGGAAUAUUGGACAAUGGGGGCAACCCUGAUCCAGCCAUGCCGCGUGAGUGAUGAAGGCCUUCGGGUUGUAAAGCUCUUUUGGCGGGGACGAUGAUGACGGUACCCGCAGAAUAAGCCCCGGCUAACUUCGUGCCAGCAGCCGCGGUAAGACGAAGGGGGCUAGCGUUGUUCGGAAUUACUGGGCGUAAAGCGCGUGUAGGCGGUUAUCCAAGUCGGGUGUGAAAGCCUUGAGCUUAACUCAAGAAAUGCACUCGGUACUGGGUGACUAGAGGACCGGAGAGGAUAGUGGAAUUCCCAGUGUAGUGGUGAAAUACGUAGAGAUUGGGAAGAACACCAGUGGCGAAGGCGGCUAUCUGGACGGUUUCUGACGCUAAGACGCGAAAGCGUGGGGAGCAAACAGGAUUAGAUACCCUAGUAGUCC
rnacentral:rRNA from 1 species